GCAGUUGGCCGGUCUGUCGCGUGCAUGUUUCGUGCAGGAGGAAAGUCCGGGCAACAUAGAGCAUCCUACUUCCUAACAGAAAGCUGUCCGCGAGGGUAGAGUAACGUAGAAGAAAAUAACCGCCGCUCCUUUCGGGGAGAGGUAAGGGUGAGAAGGUGGGGUAAGAGCCCACCAGUCGCAUGGCGACAUGCGGGCUGUACGUCUUAGGAGUUGUAAGGUCAUGUAAACCGGCGUUAUGAGAGUUGCUCGCUCCAUGUCGGAGGGUAGACCGCUAAAGUGUCGUGGUGACACGCCACUCAGAUAAAUGACAGGCACCUGAUAUAAUUAAAGAUUAAUAAUCGGAAAUUAUAUGGGGUACAGAACUCGGCUUAUAGGCUGACUGCUUUU
rnacentral:RNase_P_RNA from 1 species